UACGGAGGAUGCAAGCGUUAUCCGGAAUGAUUGGGCGUAAAGCGUCCGCAGGUGGCAAUGUAAGUCUGCUGUUAAAGAGUGAGGCUCAACCUCAUAAGAGCAGUGGAAACUACAUAGCUAGAGUGCGUUCGGGGCAAAGGGAAUUCCUGGUGUAGCGGUGAAAUGCGUAGAUAUCAAGAGGAACACCUGAGGCGAAGGCGGGUUGCUAGGCUGACACUGACGCUGAGUGCGCGAAAGCCAGGGGAGCAAACGGG
rnacentral:rRNA from 1 species